CUAGGGUGUGGGAAUAUGGGUUAUAGGUGUGUGAUAACGGCUGAGUCCACUGAUUGAUUUAGUAUGGUUGUGGAUGAUGGAAUAACUGAAGAGGGAAGACCCAUCCUGGAUGUGCAUGGCACCACCAGUGGGCUUGUAGCCUGGAUAGAAUAUAACAGGAAAGAAGGAAGGCUGCUUCCUGUCUCCUGCCUACCCUGCCAUGGACUGUUUCUCCUCUGUAAUGCCACCUUUCCUUGGAGCCAGCUGUCUGGAAUGAAACCUCUACCAACUAUAAGAUCAACUCAUCUCUUCCUCGGCAAAUUCGCACACUUCAAGCUUUCCCUGGCGUGGCCUACACGACGGAGGAUACCCUCUUCUCACUAGCUGGUAAUCCAGCCCUUACUGCUGACCACAAUAAGGCCUGGCCAACAAGUCCCAUGAGGAACAGGACAUCCACCUGUUAGGGCAGAGCCCCACCCUCUUAAUUACCCCCAAACCUCACCUCCUCAUAGGUCCCACAGGAUUAGGGUUUCAACCUUGGAGCACUCUGUGGGCUAAGUGCGUGUCAAGGGAGGAGGGACGAAGCCCAGGG
rnacentral:lncRNA from 1 species